AACGAACGCUGGCGGCAUGCCUAACACAUGCAAGUCGAACGAGACCUUCGGGUCUAGUGGCGCACGGGUGCGUAACGCGUGGGAACCUGCCUUUAGGUUCGGAAUAACUCAGAGAAAUUUGAGCUAAUACCGGAUAAUGUCUUCGGACCAAAGAUUUAUCGCCUUUAGAUGGGCCCGCGUUGGAUUAGCUAGUUGGUGGGGUAAAGGCCUACCAAGGCGACGAUCCAUAGCUGGUCUGAGAGGAUGAUCAGCCACACUGGGACUGAGACACGGCCCAGACUCCUACGGGAGGCAGCAGUGGGGAAUAUUGGACAAUGGGCGAAAGCCUGAUCCAGCAAUGCCGCGUGAGUGAUGAAGGCCUUCGGGUUGUAAAGCUCUUUACUUCGGGACGAUAAUGACGGUACCGAGAG
rnacentral:rRNA from 1 species